CAAUAGCGUAUAUUAAAGUUGUUGCGGUUAAAAAGCUCGUAGUUGGAUUUCUGCCGAGGACGACCGGUCCGCCCUCUGGGUGAGUAUCUGGCUCGGCCUUGGCAUCUUCUUGGAGAACGUAACUGCACUUGACUGUGUGGUGCGGUAUCCAGGACUUUUACUUUGAGGAAAUUAGAGUGUUUCAAGCAGGCGUACGCCUUGAAUACAUUAGCAUGGAAUAAUGAGAUAGGACCUUGGUUCUAUUUUGUUGGUUUCUAGAGCUGAGGUAAUGAUUAAUAGGGAUAGUUGGGGCAUGCUAUUAAUUUAUGUCAGAGUGAAAUUCUUGGAUUUAUUAAAGACGGACUACUGCGAAAGCAUUUGCCAAGGAUGUUUUCAUUGAUCAAGAACGAAAGUU
rnacentral:rRNA from 1 species